GUGGGAUCAUUGCCUCCUCCCAUAGGCCAAAUUGAAAGAAGAUUUUUUGGUCGGGAUCCGGGGUGUCGUUCGGUAUGUCCACAGGAUCGAGUGCAACUCUUUGACCCAGAGGCCUCUGGCUUCAUUCAGUCGAGUCUUCAACCCAUGCAGAAUGGUCUGGUUGAUUACUUCGACUUUCCCAUUGGACUGUGGAUGUCCGACUGAGGUCAGCUUGUGCGUGAUAUGAAAUCUCGCACA
rnacentral:lncRNA from 1 species